UGGGGAAUUUUGGACAAUGGGGGAAACCCUGAUCCAGCCAUCCCGCGUGUGCGAUGAAGGCCUUCGGGUUGUAAAGCACUUUUGGCAGGAAAGAAACGUCAUGGGUUAAUACCCCGUGAAACUGACGGUACCUGCAGAAUAAGCACCGGCUAACUACGUGCCAGCAGCCGCGGUAAUACGUAGGGUGCAAGCGUUAAUCGGAAUUACUGGGCGUAAAGCGUGCGCAGGCGGUUCGGAAAGAAAGAUGUGAAAUCCCAGAGCUCAAAUUUGGAACUGCAUAUUUAACUACCGGGCUAGAGUGUGUCAGAGGGACGUGGAAUUCCGCGUGUAGCAGUGAAAUGCGUAGAUAUGAGGAGGAACACCGAUGGCGAAGGCAGACUCCUGGGAUAACACUGACGCUCAUGCACGAAAGCGUGGGGAGCAAACAGG
rnacentral:rRNA from 1 species